rnacentral:rRNA from 1 species
AUGUUGCAUAAGAAAGUUAAACCUACAACUGUUACAUAUGACACCAUACUGGACGGGUUAUUUCGUGCUGGAAGAACUGCUGCUGCAAAGAAAAUGUUCCGUGAGAUGAUCGAAAGUGGAAUAAUUGUGAGCAUUUCUACAUAUAAUAUAAUUCUUGGAGGACUUUGUAGAAAUAAUUGCGCGAAUGAAGCGAUCGUCCUAUUCCAGAAAUUAUGUGCAAUGAAUGUGAAGUUCAAUAUCACAACACUCAAUACCAUGAUCAAUGCAUUGUACAAGGUUCAAAGAAAGGAAGAAGCUAACGAUUUGUUUGCUGCAUUACCAGCCAGAGUAUCAUGCAAUCUCAACUUUUCUUCAGGAAUAAUUGCCAAAUUCGGUCCUACU